rnacentral:rRNA from 1 species
GGGUUGUGAGGUUAAGCGACUAAGCGUACACGGUGGAUGCCCUGGCAGUCAGAGGCGAUGAAGGACGUGCUAAUCUGCGAAAAGCGUCGGUAAGGUGAUAUGAACCGUUAUAGCCGGCGAUGUCCGAAUGGGGAAACCCAGUGCAAUUCGUUGCACUAUCGUUAACUGAAUACAUAGGUUAACGAGGCGAACCGGGGGAACUGAAACAUCUAAGUACCCCGAGGAAAAGAAAUCAACCGAGAUUCCCCCAGUAGCGGCGAGCGAACGGGGAGCAGCCCAGAGUCUGAAUCAGCUUGUGUGUUAGUGGAACGGUCUGGAAAGUCCGACGGUACAGGGUGAUAGUCCCGUACACCAAAAUGCACAGGCUGUGAACUCGAAGAGUAGGGCGGGACACGUGGUAUCCUGUCUGAAUAUGGGGGGACCAUCCUCCAAGGCUAAAUACUCCUGACUGACCGAUAGUGAACCAGUACCGUGAGGGAAAGGCGAAAAGAACCCCGGCGAGGGGAGUGAAAAAGAACCUGAAACCGUGUACGUACAAGCAGUGGGAGCACCUUUAUGGUGUGACUGCGUACCUUUUGUAUAAUGGGUCAGCGACUUAUAUUCUGUAGCAAGGUUAACCGUAUAGGGGAGCCGCAGGGAAACCGAGUCUUAACUGGGCGUUAAGUUGCAGGGUAUAGACCCGAAACCCGGUGAUCUAGCCAUGGGCAGGUUGAAGGUUGGGUAACACUAACUGGAGGACCGAACCGACUAAUGUUGAAAAAUUAGCGGAUGACUUGUGGCUGGGGGUGAAAGGCCAAUCAAACCGGGAGAUAGCUGGUUCUCCCCGAAAGCUAUUUAGGUAGCGCCUCGUGAACUCAUCUUCGGGGGUAGAGCACUGUUUCGGCUAGGGGGUCAUCCCGACUUACCAACCCGAUGCAAACUACGAAUACCGAAGAAUGUUAUCACGGGAGACACACGGCGGGUGCUAACGUCCGUCGUGAAGAGGGAAACAACCCAGACCGCCAGCUAAGGUCCCAAAGUCAUGGUUAAGUGGGAAACGAUGUGGGAAGGCACAGACAGCCAGGAUGUUGGCUUAGAAGCAGCCAUCAUUUAAAGAAAGCGUAAUAGCUCACUGGUCGAGUCGGCCUGCGCGGAAGAUGUAACGGGGCUAAACCAUGCACCGAAGCUGCGGCAGCGACACUAUGUGUUGUUGGGUAGGGGAGCGUUCUGUAAGCCUGCGAAGGUGACCUGUGAGGGUUGCUGGAGGUAUCAGAAGUGCGAAUGCUGACAUAAGUAACGAUAAAGCGGGUGAAAAGCCCGCUCGCCGGAAGACCAAGGGUUCCUGUCCAACGUUAAUCGGGGCAGGGUGAGUCGACCCCUAAGGCGAGGCCGAAAGGCGUAGUCGAUGGGAAACAGGUUAAUAUUCCUGUACUUGGUGUUACUGCGAAGGGGGGACGGAGAAGGCUAUGUUAGCCGGGCGACGGUUGUCCCGGUUUAAGCAUGUAGGCUGGUUGUCCAGGCAAAUCCGGAUAAUCAAGGCUGAGGUGUGAUGACGAGGCACUACGGUGCUGAAGUAACAAAUGCCCUGCUUCCAGGAAAAGCCUCUAAGCAUCAGGUAACAUUAAAUCGUACCCCAAACCGACACAGGUGGUCAGGUAGAGAAUACCAAGGCGCUUGAGAGAACUCGGGUGAAGGAACUAGGCAAAAUGGUGCCGUAACUUCGGGAGAAGGCACGCUGGUGUGUAGGUGAAGUCCCUGCGGAUGGAGCUGAGACCAGUCGAAGAUACCAGCUGGCUGCAACUGUUUAUUAAAAACACAGCACUGUGCAAACACGAAAGUGGACGUAUACGGUGUGACGCCUGCCCGGUGCCGGAAGGUUAAUUGAUGGGGUUAUCCGUAAGGAGAAGCUCUUGAUCGAAGCCCCGGUAAACGGCGGCCGUAACUAUAACGGUCCUAAGGUAGCGAAAUUCCUUGUCGGGUAAGUUCCGACCUGCACGAAUGGCGUAAUGAUGGCCAGGCUGUCUCCACCCGAGACUCAGUGAAAUUGAACUCGCUGUGAAGAUGCAGUGUACCCGCGGCAAGACGGAAAGACCCCGUGAACCUUUACUAUAGCUUGACACUGAACAUUGAGCCUUGAUGUGUAGGAUAGGUGGGAGGCUUUGAAGCGUGGACGCCAGUCUGCGUGGAGCCAACCUUGAAAUACCACCCUUUAAUGUUUGAUGUUCUAACGUUGGCCCCUUACCGGGGUUGCGGACAGUGUCUGGUGGGUAGUUUGACUGGGGCGGUCUCCUCCCAAAGCGUAACGGAGGAGCACGAAGGUUAGCUAAUCCUGGUCGGACAUCAGGAGGUUAGUGCAAUGGCAUAAGCUAGCUUGACUGCGAGCGUGACGGCGCGAGCAGGUGCGAAAGCAGGUCAUAGUGAUCCGGUGGUUCUGAAUGGAAGGGCCAUCGCUCAACGGAUAAAAGGUACUCCGGGGAUAACAGGCUGAUACCGCCCAAGAGUUCAUAUCGACGGCGGUGUUUGGCACCUCGAUGUCGGCUCAUCACAUCCUGGGGCUGAAGUAGGUCCCAAGGGUAUGGCUGUUCGCCAUUUAAAGUGGUACGCGAGCUGGGUUUAGAACGUCGUGAGACAGUUCGGUCCCUAUCUGCCGUGGGCGCUGGAGAAUUGAGGGGGGCUGCUCCUAGUACGAGAGGACCGGAGUGGACGCAUCACUGGUGUUCGGGUUGUCAUGCCAAUGGCACUGCCCGGUAGCUAAAUGCGGAAGAGAUAAGUGCUGAAAGCAUCUAAGCACGAAACUUGCCCCGAGAUGAGUUCUCCCUGAGACUUUAAGUCUCCUGAAGGAACGUUAAAGACGAUGACGUUGAUAGGCCGGGUGUGUAAGCGCAGCGAUGCGUUGAGCUAACCGGUACUAAUGAACCGUGAGGCUUAACCUUACAACGCCGAAG